GUUCUGUUUUUGCCUUUUCAUUGUUACCACUGUUUUUUUUUGGGCUUUGAAUAUUUAAUUGUUACUACAGUUAAAUUCGGGGUUUUCUAUUAUAUUCAUAUGUAAGUGCUUGAAUGAAAGAAGCUAAGUGCAUAUGUUGCUCUUUCUCUAUGUGGGUUUUGGUGGAACAUGCGGGAAUUUCUUCAGCUGCCCAUUUUGUCGGAAGGUUCGGGAAAUUGUUGCAGUAUUGGAUCUUGAUGUGCUGUAUUAUCCCUGUCCAAGAAACGGCCCGAAUUUCCGGGCCAAGGUUUCUCAAAUGGGUGGAAAACAACAGUUCCCUUACAUGGUGGAUCCAAACACGGGAGUCGUUAUAUACGAAUCAGAUGACAUAAUUAAGUAUUUGGUCGGGAAAUAAGGUAUGUUACUUCAAUCUGGUUUUUAGAUGCCACCUUAAUUUUUUGUUUUAUUUUUUCAUCGUAACGAAAAUAUCUUGCAAAUACAUGAUGUCAUAUAUAAAAGUUUGAGAUGCAAGUUUGGUUAUUUUGGUACUUUUAUCGUCGUACGUCGUCUCAUUGUACUUUUAGCUUAGUGAGUUUUACCGAUUCUGAGUCGGCGGUGCUGAUUAUUCCUCAGGUGAUGGCAAUGUCCCGCUUUAGUUGUCUCUCGGUCUAUUAACUACUUUGACAGGGGGAUUUGCUUUGAUUGGUCGAAUGGGGAAGGUGCAGUUUCGCUCGUGCAUGCAUUUACAUGUUCUCAUAUCCAUUGCAAAUUUAAUCUCAUUUCAUUGAUUCAAUGAUGACCAAACAGAUGAGGCAAUCAUUUGAUAACUUCUUCUUCAGAGAGUGAGUGUUCUUUCUGUGAUUUAAUGUUACAAUUCAUUUCGGAUCAGAUGCAUUCUUUUUCUGCCGUUACAAUUUACUAUGAUAAAUGAUUCCACUCUCUGUUUCGAAUUAAAUAAAGAUGCUUGUUUAUUUACCAUAAAUUGGUGUCCCUGUUUCUUUUCCCACUUUUGAUUUAUUGCCUCGGCCUCACAGCCGGAGAGCCUCAACAGCGGUUCAUGGUAUAGCUGAGUCUUUCUUAUACCAACUCCGUGUAUGCUUUUAAUUUGAAGUAAAUGGUAAAUUUCGUUGAUGGUGUGCUUGCAUGUAUAGAAUUUGGAAGAAAAAAAAUUAAUCGAAAUGUGAAAGUAUUGGCUAUCAACUUUCAGGGCACUAUUAUAAUUUCAGUUGUGCAGACGGCAUAACUUUCGCAAACUAUUGGCUAUCAACUUUCAGGACACUAUUAUAAUUUCUGCUGAAAUGCGAAAGUAAUUGUACUGGUAAGUGGACAUUUUCAAUAUUAUGUUCUUUUCAUAUCCUCUUUCUUCCACUUCAUCACUUUAUGGUAUAAGUUAGUUUGCCUUACUUAAUUUCUUUUGUAUUUUCUAUUGUCUGAAUUGCCUUAUUAUUAUUAUUAUUAUUAUUUUGGUCCAUUAUAACUCAUUUCCCUAAUGUAAGUUAAUAUGGGGACCGAUCUUCCCUUAUUUCAUCUAUGUAUAUCACGUGGUUUAGUAGUCGGACCAGCGGCGAAAUCAUCAGGAAACAGGUCACCGGAAAAUGACCGGAAUCUGUUCUCCAUGCCAGGGAAAAUCUGAGGUCGAGGGAAUCUUUGAUCGGCCAUAGUAUGAGUGGUUCCAGUUCAACAAGGAGGUUGGUUAUUCAUCAAGGGAUAUCCAUGGACCAUGAAGCAAGACUAUGCAAAGGUUUCUACUUUUCCUUUAUCUUUGUUGCAGUUAAAUGGUAAUUAUUUCCCGUGUAAAUCUUUAAGAGUUGCGAUAAAUAGAAAUUUAUAUCUUUGAUUGCUA